rnacentral:rRNA from 1 species
UACAGAGGGGGCAAGCGUUGUUCGGAAUUACUGGGCGUAAAGGGCGCGUAGGCGGUCCUACAAGUCCCGCGUGAAAGCCCCCGGCUCAACUGGGGAACUGCGCGGGAAACUGUAGGGCUUGAGUUCGGGAGAGGGAAGCGGAAUUCCGGGUGUAGCGGUGAAAUGCGUAGAUAUCCGGAGGAACACCGGUGGCGAAGGCGGCUUCCUGGACCGACACUGACGCUGAGGCGCGAAAGCGAGGGGAGCAAACGGG